rnacentral:rRNA from 1 species
GAUGAACGCUGGCGGCGUGCCUAAUACAUGCAAGUCGAGCGAACAGACGAGGAGCUUGCUCCUCUGCCGUUAGCGGCUGACGGGUGAGUAACACGUGGAUCACCUACCUCUAUGACUUGGAUAACUUCGUGAAACCGGAGCUAAUACCGGAUAAUAUAUUGAACCGCAUGGUUCAAUAGUUAUAGACGGUUUUGCUGUCACUUUUAGAUGGAUCCGGGUCGCAUUAGCUAGUUGGUAAGGUAACGGCUUACCAAGGCGACGAUGCGUAGCCGACCUGAGAGGAUGAUCGGCCACACUGGAACUGAGACACGGUCCAGACUCCUACGGGAGGCAGCAGUAGGGAAUAUUCCGCAAUGGGCGAAAGCCUGACGGAGCAACGCCGCGUGAGUGAUGAAGGUCUUCGGAUCGUAAAACUCUGUUAUUAGGGAAGAACAAAUGUGUAAGAAACUAUGCACGUCUUGACGGUACCUAAUCAGAAAGCCACGGCUAACUACGUG